CGCUCGCCUCGCCGGUUUUCCUCCUCUAGGCUGCCGCGGCGGCCACCCCCGCCCGCCUCCCUCGUGCGCCGCUCCCUUCCCUUGGCAUUUACUCCUCUCGCUCCUCGCGCUCGCAGGGAGAGUCCGCGGCGGAAGCGAACCCAAAAGACCCGCCUCUGGAGGACGAGGAGCCGGCCACCCUUUGCUUGCGAGCUUUGCUAGCUGACCCGCGUGGUCGGUGCUGGUACUAGGUUCAUAACUACUUCUUGUUAGGUUUUCCUAGCCUGGACCCUGGAAUGAUGGCUCUAGUUUCUAUAUGA